UGUCUCAAAAAAAAGUUCACUGAAGAACCAAAGCACCCCCAUUUCAAGCAAGCCCCUCACCCCAGCUUGAAACAGGCCUGAGUUUGAAAAUUCUUACAGCUGCUGACAUAUGUCCCUGACAAAGUCAGGAUGUUUGAAGAGCCAUCUGGUAGCAACUAAUUAACCAUAGAAUGCCCCAAUGCCGGAGAUGGUCAAAAGUACAAAGUCUGGAUGUUUGAAGGACUAUCUGGUAGCAAUUGAUUAACCACAGAAUGCCCCAAUGCCAGAGAUAGUCUAUAAAGUUUAACAAACAACCAGUCAAAACUACAAAGUAAGAUAACACAGAAAUUCUGGAAAGCCCCUAAAACUUGAGACAAUCAGAAUUGUACCCGUACUAGCACCCCUAACUGAUGUAGCCUUGUGGUUUUUUUCCUUUAAAAACUGAGCUUGCAGAGGGGCGGGCACCUCCUCCAGCCUCUGCUAUAUUGGAUGGCUUGUCGAUGUCCCUGCCGAAUGGCUUGACCUGCUUCAAUAAACCUUGCUUUUGCAUUUCGGUGAGUUCAUGUCUCUGGUGUUCUCUUCGGGGGUCUCGCACCCAGGGCACAACAUUUGGCGGCUCGUCUAGGAUUUUGGGGGACCCCAGAGACCCCGCAACCCAAAGGUUUACAACGGCUGAUCGGGAAAAAUACUCUGCCUUAUGGGCCUGAUGGCAGAAGAAGAUUGAUGCUGUUCUGACUGGUACCUCCAAUGCUAUGGAAACCUGGAUUUCCACUUGGCUGGCAGUCACCUCCAAGCUUCAGUUGCUGACUAUACUGCUUCAGAUGACUGUGAGCUCCAGACUUGCUAAUAGCUGACAUGGACCAGCCCAGCCAACAUGAUUCUUUCUUGUCUCUACGGGGUCAGACAGCCACAUGCUUCUGACAAAUGCCCCAUUGCCCAGUCUUUGACUAGCCUUUCAGCAUUUUGGGGGCCCUGAAAAUGGCACCCCAAUGCCAGCUCGAAGCAGUUACAGAGAAUAUGUUGUCCCAUGUUCCCUCUUCAGAUAAGGCUGAAAUGCUGGGUCAAAAGAAAAAUCCGUGACAUAGAGAUAAAAUGGCUAUUACUAACUACUUUAAUUUCCACCCUAAUAGGCCCAUAAAUAGCCUUGCUUCUGGUACUAACCCUCAGGCCCUGUACCUUUUAUUUGUAUUCAUUGUAAUAUUCGUUUGAGAAACAAAAUGAAACCAUAUUGUAAUUUUUGUUUUGCCUGAAAGAUUUUGCUGGGUAAAAAGCUGUAAGGGAAAGAA